rnacentral:rRNA from 1 species
GCUAUCGGGGUCCGAUUCAGCCCAUGCUAGUUGUACGGGUUUAGACCCGUAGCAAAUAGCUCCGUAACACGUGGUCAAACUACCCUCUGGACCGGAAUACCCUCGGGAAACUGAGGCUAAUUCCGGAUACUGCUUUCAUGUUGGAACACAGAAAGUCGGAAACGGUCCGCCGCCGGAGGACGUGACUGCGGCCGAUUAGGUAGACGGUGGGGUAACGGCCCACCGUGCCGAUAAUCGGUACGGGUUGUGAGAGCAAGAACCCGGAGACGGUAUCUGAGACAAGAUACCGGGCCCUACGGGGCGCAGCAGGCGCGAAACCUUUACACUGCACGCCAGUGCGAUAAGGGGACCCCGAGUGCGAGGGCAUACAGUCCUCGCUUUUCGUGACCGUAAGAAGGUCUCAGAAUAAGAGCUGGGCAAGACCGGUGCCAGCCGCCGCGGUAAUACCGGCAGCUCGAGUGAUAGCCACUAUUAUUGGGCCUAAAGCGUCCGUAGCCGGCCGAACAGGUCCGUCGGGAAAUCCACCCGCUCAACGGGUGGACGUCCGGCGGAAACCAGUCGGCUUGGGGCCGGGAGACCAGAGAGGUACGUCCGGGGUAGGAGUGAAAUCCCGUAAUCCUGGACGGACCGCCGGUAGCGAAAGCGUCUCUGGAGAACGGACCCGACGGUGAGGGACGAAAGCUUGGGUCUCGAACCGGAUUAGAUACCCGGGUAGUCCAAGCUGUAAACGAUGCUCGCUAGGUGUGGCGUUGGCUACGAGCCAGCGCUGUGCCGUAGGGAAGCCGAGAAGCGAGCCGCCUGGGAAGUACGUCCGCAAGGAUGAA